UACGUAGGGUGCAAGCGUUAAUCGGAAUUACUGGGCGUAAAGCGUGCGCAGGCGGUUGUGCAAGACCGAUGUGAAAUCCCCGGGCUCAACCUGGGAAUUGCAUUGGAGACUGCAAGGCUAGAAUCUGGCAGAGGGGGGUAGAAUUCCACAUGUAGCAGUGGAAUGCGUAGAGAUGUGGAGGAACACCGAUGGCGAAGGCAGCCCCCUGGGUCAAGAUUGACGCUCAUGCACGAAAGCGUGGGGAGCAAACAGG
rnacentral:rRNA from 1 species